GAUGAACGCUGGCGGCGUGCUUAACACAUGCAAGUCGAACGGUGAACACGGAGCUUGCUCUGUGGGAUCAGUGGCGAACGGGUGAGUAACACGUGAGCAACCUGCCCCUGACUCUGGGAUAAGCGCUGGAAACGGCGUCUAAUACUGGAUACGAGUAGCGGCCGCAUGGUCAGGUACUGGAAAGAUUUUUUGGUUGGGGAUGGGCUCGCGGCCUAUCAGCUUGUUGGUGAGGUGAUGGCGCACCAAGGCGUCGACGGGUACCCGGCCUGAGAGGGUGACCGUCCACACUGGGACUGAGACGCGGCCCAGACUCCUACGGGAGGCAGCAGUGGGGAAUAUUGCACAAUGGGCGAAAGCCUGAUGCAGCAACGCCGCGUGAGGGAUGACGGCAUUCGGGUUGUAAACCUCUUUAGCAGGGAAGAAGCGAAAGUGACGGUACCUGCAGAAAAAGCGCCGGCUAACUACGUGCCAGCAGCCGCCGUAA
rnacentral:rRNA from 1 species